AGUGAACGCUGGCGGCGUGCCUAAUAAAUGCAAGUCGAACGAAGUGGCGCAAGGGUGAGUAAUAUAUAGUUAAUCUGCCCUACACAGAGGAACAAAAGUUGGAAACGGCUGAUAAUACCUCAUAGUGUAGGAUGAGACUAUAUCGUAGCAGCUAGUUGGGAAGGUAAUGGAUUACAAAGGCUAUGACGAGUAACUGGUCUGUGAGGAUGAUCAGUCACAUUGGAACUUAGACACGGUCCAAACUCCUACGGGAGGCAGCAGUAAGGAAUAUUGCGCAAUGGGGGAAACCCUUACGCAGCAACGCCGCGUGGAGGAUGACACUUUUCGGAGCGUAAACUCCUUUUAUCAGGAAAGCGGUACCUGAUGAAUAAGCACCGGCUAACUCCGUGCCAGCAGCCGCGGUAAUUC
rnacentral:rRNA from 1 species